rnacentral:lncRNA from 1 species
ACAGCUUCCUGUCAAGGAGUCAGACCAGAGGAAGUCUCCAAGGUGGGAAUGGCGAAGUACUUGGGGCUGCCAGGGGGAUGAGACAGUUGACACACUUGGCCAGGGCUCCGAUGUGCCUGGCUCAGAGCCUCCGUUUGUAACUAGCCAUGGCAUCAUUCUCAACACUAGCUGAUAAGACUAACUGCAAGACAAGAUGGUGGGGACGCCUUGGUCGACCACAGAUGAAGGCAGAGCAGCCACUGCAGUGUCUUCCUAAGAAAAGACUCAGCUUCAGCCAUUUUGACUUUCCUCUAAAUUAAAGUCAGACUGUGGGCA